rnacentral:lncRNA from 1 species
CAGCGUCUGGGGACAGCGUGUUGGGCUGUGGGGAGGUUACCGAAAGGAAACGGGCCGAGUCCAGUUGUUUGAGCGGUUUUCUCCUUCCACGAGCGUGUGUGAAAAAGCGCGGAGUUCGGUGGAGGGCAGCUGCCAGGACUGCCUCCUGGACUGGGUGCGGUAAUUGUACAUUUUUUCAUCCUACAUCUCAAGAGACCAAGGGACCUAAGUAAAUUGAUCUACUUGCCAAUGACUGUAAGAAAGACAAAGAAGUUGUAAAAACAUCCAAAUGAUGUUAAACAUAAAUUAGCUCAGAAUAGUUUGCAGAAGAUAAACUACCAGCGUCAAAGCAUGCAUUAAAAACUGGAAAGAAAUUAAAAGUGUGGUAUUGAAAGAUGUACAACUGACUUUGGA